CACUCCUGCGGGAGGCAGCAGUGGGGAAUUUUGGACAAUGGGCGAAAGCCUGAUCCAGCAAUGCCGCGUGAGUGAAGAAGGCCUUCGGGUUGUAAAGCUCUUUUGUCAGGGAAGAAACGGUGAAAGCUAAUAUCUUUUGCUAAUGACGGUACCUGAAGAAUAAGCACCGGCUAACUACGUGCCAGCAGCCGCGGUAAUACGUAGGGUGCAAGCGUUAAUCGGAAUUACUGGGCGUAAAGCGUGCGCAGGCGGUUUUGUAAGUCUGAUGUGAAAUCCCCGGGCUCAACCUGGGAAUUGCAUUGGAGACUGCAAGGCUAGAAUCUGGCAGAGGGGGGUAGAAUUCCACGUGUAGCAGUGAAAUGCGUAGAUAUGUGGAGGAACACCGAUGGCGAAGGCAGCCCCCUGGGUCAAGAUUGACGCUCAUGCACGAAAGCGUGGGGAGCAAACAGGAUUAGAAACCCGAGUAGUCCCAUG
rnacentral:rRNA from 1 species